GUCUAUGGCCAUAGUAUCCUGAACGAGCCCAAUCCCAUCGAUCUUGGAAUCUAAGUAGAGUAGGGCCUGAUUAGUACUUGGAUGGGAGACCACCUAACAAGACCAGUACUAUAGGCG
rnacentral:rRNA from 1 species